GUGGGAAGUCAUCUGGACAAGCUUGGAUCCAAUCUGAUGACAUUCCAAGUUCCUCCUGGCGUCUUCAAAAGAACGGCCCAAUAUCAUGUCCACGGUGGAUAUAUUCAUUUCAUCAACCUUUGCUCCGACCACAGUGCAUGACCCCCAGCCUACGACGGUGCAGUCUACAGCUGCUUUCUGCAAUGUCAAACAAAAGAUUACCCGGCCAACAGUUAGAAUGUAUUCUGCCUGCUAUGCCUGCACUUGCUGAGAUUGUGAGGCCGUGGAUUGGAGUUUUCUUAAUUGCCGAGUCACCACGUGGUCUUUAAGAAUAGCCCAAGAGAAUUGCCUAGACAUAAGUGAGACCUCCAAGGAAGGAGAUGCCAAGUAGUGCUUCA
rnacentral:sRNA from 1 species